rnacentral:lncRNA from 1 species
CUUUAAAAUGUGAAAGGAGUUUUACUAGAUCUAUUAUCUAUUUAUAAGAUAUAUUGGCCAAUGCUACUUUUCCUUAGCAAUUGUAAAUACAUGAACCGAGUUGAUUGUGUUUUGGAUUUGGAUUAUAGAUGGAACAGUGAAGCGAUACAACGAUGCAAAAAAAGAGUGGGGAUUCACACAAUUGAUUUCUCUUCCAACAUUCUACAACGCGAACGAAGGGUACCUUGUGCAGGACACAGCUUCUUUUGGUGCUGAGAUCUUCAUCGUUAACCCGACAGAAAAACAAGAGAAAGUCACAUUCAUAUCAAACCCUCCAGACAAUGUUUUCACUUGGAAGAUACUUCGUUUCUCUACCUUGGAAGAUAAAUUCUAUUACUCUGAUGAUUUUCUUGUUGGAGACCGAUACUGGUUAGUGCUCUUGGCUAGACUAAAGUCUAAAUUAAGCUCAAGGCUUGCAACUGUUAUGUGAAUCCCGUAGUGGCCAAGUAUAAUAACGGGAUUUGUUUUUAAUGUAUAUUCAGGAGACUAGGAUUUAACCCGAAAGGAUCUGGUGGAGGAAGACCACAUGCACUUCCAAUCUUCCUAUAUGCUCAAGGCCAUAAGGCAAACGCAGUUGUUACAAACACUUGGGGAGCGGUUAAUCUGCGGUUAAAGAAUCAACGAAGCUCCAACCACAAACAAUUAUAUUGUAAGAAAACUAAAAAAAAAAGGCUUAAUUAACUCUAGGAGUGAAAAUCAUCAAUGAAUAGUAAGGAUAUAAAUUGUUUUUUUUUUUUUUCUAUCUUUGCAGCUGCAGCUUGGUACCCGAUUCGAAGCGAUUAUGGUGUGGGAGUGAACAAUAUAAUAUUGAUGUCAGAGCUAAAAGAUGCAUCAAAAGGGUAUAUGGUGAAUGAUGCCAUUAUCUUUGAAGCUGAAAUGGUUAAGGUCUCUGUGACAAACAUAGUCUCCGUUUAAAUAUCACUACUUCUUUUUCAACAACAACCUUACGAAUAAAGUGGACUUUGAUGAGUUUAAUUUGUUAUACGACAACGUUGUUGAUGCUUGUGAUGUAAUCGUUGUUUCUGCUCUCCGAGUUUUCGUUUUACUUUUUUUUUCAUGUUUUGCUAUCAAUGAAAUAAAGGUAUAAAACUCUCUUGGUUUUAAAGUAUUUUAAAGAUCCAUGUUAGGGAAAGCUGGAAGGUUAAAUUACAAAAAUAAACUCAACCAUUGGAAAACAUUUUUUAUAGCCAAAUUCAAACAGAAGUGCAGGAUCAAUAGACAAAAUGAGUUUAAAGCACGUAAAUGACGACAUGGUUAUGUUUGGUGUAUAUAUGUGGAAGAAUGGAUAUAAUUAGUUAUUUCAGCUAGAAAAUCACAGAAAGAACCCUGAUUUAAGAGCUCUAGUGGUUGAUGAAAUGUUUUUGAGAUAUUAAUAGAAAGUUGCUAGAGUAUAACCAAUGUAGUUUGGUGUAGUCACCUCCUCAGAUUAAGGCAUAAAGACUUUCGCAGAGUGAUGUUUUAACAGGGUCUAGAGAAGAACAUAUAUUCAAAAGGGAAAGGACAACUUCAAAUCCAAAGUGGAAACACUAAACCCUCUAGUUCAUACCAAGGUCCAAGGACGGAAAUAUCUUAGAAGCAAUGGGUCAUGUGCCCCCGGUAAAAAAGAGAGCAUAUUAGUUGUUUGUUUUAAUUUAUUGUUAUGGACAAUUUUACAUCCUCCUAUCUCCGAGUAACAUGUGAAAUCGUCAUUGAAACAGUAAAAGUAAAGUGAAGUAAAUCCCUAUCGGGAAUUCACCGAGAAUUCGAAGAAAGGACAAAUAAAACAUAGAAGCUAAUUAUGAAGAAAGAAAGAUCAACUCAGAGAACAUUGAUUUGGUGAUGGAUGAUGAUAAGUGAUUAUAUAUAUAUAUAUAUAUAUAUAUAUAUAUAAUUUUAAAGGAAAAUGGUAGGAUAUUUUUCUUCUAAUUACUUAUGCCAAGUCUUUAGAUUACUUUUCAAUUGAAAAUGAUAAAAAAAAUUCAUGGGGCUAUUACAGGAUGAUGCACUUUUUGGGGCAGAAAUUUGAAAUAAGGCAUAAUCCAAAUGGGCUUAUGAGAUUGGGCACUUUCAACAACCUGGAAAGACUAAAUUACCCUUGAAAGAGGCAUCUUUGUUUUCGCGUGAGAUGUUUUGUUGAGGAACGGCGUGAGAGAAGCUUUGUGAAGACAAUGACAUUGGUAGACAUAAGUGUAAAAGAGAGCAUCAAAUGUGAAUAAACUGUAAAUCUUGUUACAGUAUGGAGGUUUUGAGAAUUUCAAAUAUAAACCCUAAGAAUUGGAAAACAGGGAACCCCAGGAGAAAGUGACUUAGACGACAUGUGUUCUAUGGAGGUAAGCAUUUUCAAAAAUAUAUACACUAAGGAUUGUAAUUAGGGAACCCAAGCAAUUAGGGAAUAGAGAACAAACCUAAGAGGAGAGGAGAGGACCGGAGCCAAGAUGAAUCUUGUUACAAUGAAUCAUGAGAAAUUAUCAUUUUCUCUUGUUCGCUGUAUCAAUUGCAGAGGCAGAGCAGACGGUGUUAAGCGCGAGAAAAGCAGCGAAUCAGACGGCGUUAAACGGCGCAACUUUGGCGAGAAAAGCAUCGGCGGAAGAAAAUAAUUGUACCUGAUCAGAUUAGUUGGAGAGAAAUCUCCAAAUAUAGAAACGAGUGAGUGAAUGGUCGGGUAUAUGGGCAACGACACUAGUCAGGUAGGUGGCUCUAAAAUGGGGAAAAAUUUAGAAGAUGCUUCAACAGUAGAGGAAGAAAAGAAAUAAACUAGAAAUCAAAUAAUUUAGCGGAAGCUUUGAGGGGUGAAGUUGUAAAAGAUUAGAAUGUAUAAGUACCUAAUUUGGUGAGUAAUUUGAGAUGUUCCUAAAUUCACAAAGGCAUAGAGUUUUUUGUGCCAAUCUCAUAAUUGAUCCAACUUUUCAUAUGAAACAUUUACAAAGAACAUGGUAGGAUUAUUUUCUAAAAAAUUCCUACCCGAAUAACGGAAAAUUUUGAAUUGCUUUCAAUCUCGUACCAUAUUUCUUACUAACAUUUAUGUUGCAAAAAGGUAGGAUAUUUCCUAACCUUUUUCAAAAUUUUCUUACAAAUUUCCUAUUAGUUCAGGUUUCGUCAAAAAAUCAUAGGUUAAAAUUAGGAUAUUUUCUUGUAGUAUAUAUCUUAUUAUAUAAAGUAUGAUUUUCAAAGUUACUAACUCAGAAGAUUAUGCCACUUGUUGAUUUGAUCGAUCUUAGAUUGUGACACGUGUUAGAAGAAAAUUUCUUGAAAUAAUCUUAAAACAAUAAAAUUAUAAUUAUAAGGAAAUAAAAAAAAAUGGAUAUGUAAAUAAGAUCAUUAUAAAAACCUAUAAUUAUAAGGAAACUAAACAAUUUGAAAUUUUAAAUAAGAUACAUUUAUAAAACCUAAGUUAGUAACUCAUACGAUUGUCCUAUGUGUCAAUUUAUCGAUCUUAGAUUUUGAGACAUGUAAAACAUUUUUUAUUAAUUUUAAAACAAUAUAAUAAAAUAUAACAAAUUUUUGAAACAGGAACUUGUUUAAAUAUAUAUUAUUAUUAGAUAACUCUAAAAUAUAGAUGUCAGCAAAAUACAUAAAAUGUUGAGAUGCAUAGAUAAAUUUAUAAUAGAAAGAAUCAAUAGUAUCAACGAUGUUAGAAUUAAGUACAAUCAUGUUUGAGUAAGACCUUUAGUACAAGUUAAUAAUGUUCAAAGUUUAAGUCACAUAGUAGUAGUAAUUUUGUAAACAAAAGAUAAUAACUUACAUGAUUUAAGGAUAAAUCUAGAUAGAUUGGAUAAAUUGAUAUAAGCGUUAAAAUAUUAAAUAUUGAAAAAAUUUGUGUGGUUUACUAUUUAAAAUUUAAAUAUAAAACAAUAAUAUGGAGUGAGUGUAAUUAGUAUUUUAGCUUUUAUUUUAAGAUGGAGUCUAUAGACUAAAAAUCCAGUUUAUUUUAAUAAAAUAAAUAGGUUAAUUUCAUUGUAAAAUAAUAUGUAUAAAAAUGAAAUAUAAUUUAAAAAUAUUUAGAUAAAAUGAAUAAGUAUGAAUUACUAAAAGAAUUCAAAAAUUAUUAAAAAUUCUAUUUAUUUGUCAAAUCCGCCUAUUUAGGAGAGUUUUAUCUAGUAUAUAUAUACAUGUUUCCUGUAAACUUUUAAAGGAAAAUGUUUUUCGCCAAAGAAGGGUAUUAUCAAAGUUUAUCAUUAAGAAGGGUAUUAUCAAAGUUUGAUUAUCUGGAUAGUGAUAUUGUCUUGUGCCUGGAUAAAAGACAAUCUACCUUUCCCAAAUUGUCUUGUGUUUGGACUUUGGAUAAAAGUUUGGUUAUCGGUGACAGUGAUAUUACCAUUGACACUAAAUCGAUCAUUGUAGUAAUAUAUCGUGUACAAUGUUUUGCUUAAAAAUAUAAUCAUGUUCUGCAACCCACCGGUGUUCAAAGGAAAAAAAAUAGUUUUAUGCCACCCAUUACUCCCAAAAAUCCAUCGAAAUAUUGUUAAAUAAUAGACUCAUUCUAAGUCGAAACAAAAAUAAUAUCGUUUCCCCCACCUUUUUAAUAUAUUGUAAUAUCUCGUGUACAACGUUUUGCCUAAUAAUAUAAUCAUAUUUCGAAAACUUGCCACCCACUACCUCGAGGUCUCUCCCACAAAUCUAUAAAAAUAUUGUUUAAUAAUAGAAAUGGGAACUUGCAAAAAGCAUUAAAAUAACAAUAACAUCCAAAGUCAAACAAAAACAAGAAAAAAUGAUUUGUGUAAAAACAUAUACAUAUACAUAUACAUAUACAUAUCUCUCGCUUUUCUGUUCAUCACUUCAGCUGAGUUUCUCAUUCAACAUGUAACUUUUUUUUGAAAUAUGUUGCAAAAACAAAUUCCAACAUAUUUAUAAAACUAGUAACAUUAUUAUUUAUAAUUUGCAAAAUAGGUCAUGAAUCCCUUUUUUAAUCUUUUUUUUUUUUCAUUUCCCCUCAUGUUUAAUUAUUAAACUACUUAAUAGUAUAAUAUUUUUCAAAUUUUCUAUUUAUAUACAAAAGCCUAUGUUUUUUUUUCUAUAAUUUGAUAUGUAGUGUCUAAUAAAUUCAAAAACAUUUUUAUUCAUACAUCUCAUUAAUUGUUAAGAUGUAUACAAAUUGAUACAUUUUUAUUCGUACAACUUAUUUAGUAUACAUUAGCUAUGAAUAUAUGAAUAAAAUAUGUAUAUUAUGUACAUUUGUAUACUAAAUGUGUUGUAUGACUCUUAGUAUACAAAACAACACAAAAAACUUUAUCAAAAAAAAAAAAAAAGCUCCCAGACCCGACUCCCGAGGAAACCUAAGCUUCUUCUUGCUAUGGCCUUCGUGGCCGCCGGCGAGGACCCUCCCUUGCCAGAACCCCCUGACCCGCCUGAUCCUCCCUCCAUCUUCGCCCAAACCUUCAUACCCGAUCCACCUUCUACUUCUUCUCUCUUUCCACCUUCAUCGAGUCUAGAUCUAGAUCUAUGUUCUACCGUUUCUUCCUAUGGUGUUACUCCUUUCGUUUUUUUGCGAUUCUUUACUGCUGUGUGCAGUCCCUUCUAUCAGAUCUGUACCCGUUCCGUGUCUUUGCGGUUCUUUACUGCUCUAUGCAGUCCAUGGAAACUAGCCUAUUCCCAGAUCUUGGGAUAUCCUCUCGUUUCAAGUGGAUAUGUUUCACAGGCCAUAACCUUUGAUGUCCACGCUGCCCCUCCUACCUCAACUCAGAGAGCCUCUCCUACUCGUUCCAUGGCCCAGACACGACAACGGUUUGUUACUUCUGUAAGAUGGUGUAUGUCUUUGUUUCUGGUUUUACCCCUCAUUCAAAAUUUCGUAGUGGUGCGAUUUAAUGCUGCAGUAUGCAGUCUCUUUGAACUCAAUCUGGCCUUUUGUGCUGUUUGUUUUGUUUCUCUUUCUUGGUGGCAGUUUGAAAAGAAACUAAUUAAUACACCUCGCCUGAUGAAUCUGGUUUUAUCGGGUAUUUGGUACCCUAGUAGCUUCUUAUCGGAGCUAGUUAUCUUCCCAAAGUUCCCUCCUCAGUGGAGUGGUUUGGAUGUCCAAGAGUCGUCGGUAUUGCAAGGAUCUUCCUCCCGAUUGAUGUUCUUCUCUGCAUUUGAUGCAGUUCUUGUAACCUCUUGUGUUACGUUGGAUACAGUCUUCCAAGAAUCUAGCCAGAUCGUUCUUAUUGUUCGUUUUGCCUUAUGUUAUUCUUAUGACUUCUGUUGCAUAUCUAUCUAUCCUUUAACCAUUGUUAUAUGGUCUGUUUUGGCUUCUGUUGUUGUGUUUUAUGUAGUUUUCUUCAUGUUGGUUGUAAUUCCUCUUUCUGAGGCUCCUAAAAUUUAGUGAAAACAACUAUUGGUUUGAAAAAAAAAAAAAAAAAAGAAUCUUAGUAUACAAAACAAAGAGUAAAAUUGUCUAUUUUGCAAAUUGUAAAUAGUAGUGUUACUAGUUACAUAAUUAUGUUUCCAAAAGUAACUAUAUUUCCAACAAACCCUUUUUUAAUGUAUUUUUUUGAUAGAUAUAUUAGUAGAUUUUUUUUAACAAUGGAAAACGAACAAGGUUAUAAGGGCAGAUGAGCAGAGUACAACUGUUCUUAAAGUCUCAUGGCAAAUCUUGGCACACUUGUGUUAUCUGAAAUAGCCAGUCUUUAGAUUUUCUUGUACUUUUUAUUUUGUUGAUUGGAGUUUGAAGAGUGUUGAGAGAGGAGCGACGAGGACAAUAACAAAUUUCUCAGUGAUUAAAGGUAGCAGAGAACCCUAUACAAUUAUGGGUUCCGCAUUAUCCUUUCGUAACCUAGAUUUUUUUUUUAUAUAUAGUUAAACUCCUAGCCUAAAACUAAAACACAGUUGAUGACUAAUUGGUGGAGAACCAUUAAAAAAAAAAAAAAAAGACAGAGUAGACUAACGAAACCACACCUUUACAUUUUUCUAUUUAUCUCACCUUCCUAAAUAAAAAAUAUUUAUUUUAAACAAAAACACAUUUUCUGUACAGACGUGGGUUUCGUAAUGUCCAUAAGUCCAUCCAUAGUCUACCAUAUAAUUUAACAUCUACUUCUCUCCAGUGGACGCAAAAGCUUCGAAUUGAAUGUGGGCGUUGCUUCUCUCGUGUCUAAUAUAAAAUUUGGAUAAUCAUGAAUUCUUCGAUGAUAGUGAUAUACCGUUGACACUGAGUAGUUCAUUGCAAUAAGUAAGAUCUUGUUUUUGCUAAAAAGAUUCAAUCAUAUUUUGAACACUUGCCACCCACCACUUCCAAAACUUCCACAAAUUCAUAGAUAUAGUAAUACACAGGUUACUUGACAAAAGGAAUAAAAGUACAAUAUGAUGCUUUACACAUUCUCAGUCAAACAAAAACGAUAAAAUGAAUGUGUAAGAUAAUAUUGUUUAAAAAAGAAAAAAAGAACAAAAAAAAGAUAAUAUUGUUUUCCCGACGACUAAUCCACUUUCAGUAUUUUAUAAAAUAACUGAACUCAAGUUGCUCGAUCAAACAAGUACCCUUAAAUGUCUCUCUGUCUAUAUAAAUGUACACUCUUCCCAAACAAAACCAUAUCUCAAAAUAUGAAUAAUCAAAAAUGGAGUAUAGGUUUCAUAUCUCUCGCUUUUCUCUUCAUCACUUCCUCUUCAGCUGAGUUCAUCAUUCAACAGGUAUUUUUGAUCUUAAAGCUCUUUUUCAAUGGAUUGGCUUUUUACUAAAAGUAGGUUUUAACAAUGAAACUACAAUAUAUAGGUCACAAAGGGCAGAGGAAUAGAGUACAACAGUUCUUACAGUCUCGAGGAGAAUCUUGGUACACUUGUGUAGUUGUGUUGUCUGAAAUCGUCUCUCUUUGGAAUUUCUUGGUUAAAAACAGAAACCAAUUUCUUUAUUUUCUUGGAACAUUUUUUGUGUUGAUAGGAGUGACAAGAGAGUUGAGAGAAGAGCGACCAUCGAGUAAGAUAGUGACAAUAACAAGCUUCUCAGUGAUUAAAGGCAGAGGAGAACCCUAUGAAUCCUCUGUUUUUGAGGCUGCUGGUUACAAAUGGUAAAGAUCUUACACUUUAUCAACUUUUUUUAUAAAAUAAUUAAUUCUAUUUUUUUUGAUAACGUAAUUGGGAAAAUAUAAUCAGGAGAUUGGUUUUGUACGUGAAUGGUAAUAAAAACGACGGUGGAAAUGAUCAUAUUUCCCUUUACGCAAGGAUCGAAGAGACAAACUCUCUUCCAUUAGGUUGGGAAGUGAAUGUUGAUCUCAAACUCUUUGUCCAUAAUGGGAAGCUACACAAAUAUUUGACUGUUACAGGUACUUUAAAAUGUGUAGAUUUCAAUAAUAAUUCUAGCCACUGCUAUUUUUACUUGGCAUUUGUAGAUUUCAAACAUUAGUUUCAUUAUUACAUGAACCAAGUUGAUUGUGAUUUAGAGUUUUCUUUUUUUUUGCAUAAUUGUGGAUUGUAGAUGGCUUAGUGAAGCGAUAUAACAAUGCGAAAAAAGAAUGGGGUUUCGGACAAUUGAUUCCUCGAUCAACAUUCUACAACGCGAACGAAGGUUACCUUGACCAGGACACUGGUUCUUUUGGUGCUGAGAUCUUUAUUGUUAAACCGGCUCAACAACAAGAGAAAGUUACAUUCAUAUCAAACCCUCCAAACAAUGUUUUCACUUGGAAGAUACUUCGUUUCUCUACCUUGGAAGAUAAAUUCUAUUACUCCGAUGAUUUUCUCGUUGAAGACCGAUACUGGUUAGUAAUUUUAAUAACCAAAUUAAUCUCAAAAUUUGCAACUGUUAUGUGAAUUAUGUAGUCUACUAACAUUUUUGGUUAAUGUAUAAUUAGGAGACUAGGAUUUAACCCGAAAGGGGAUGGAGGAGGAAGACCACAUGCACUUCCAAUCUUCCUAUUUGCUCAAGGCCAUAAGGCAAAUGCAGUUGCUACAAACACUUGGGGAGCGGUUAAUCUGCGGUUAAAGAAUCAACGAAGUACUAACCAUAGACAAAUAUAUUGUAAGAAAAAUAACCAAAAAAAAAAGUUUAUCUCUAGGAGAGAAAAUCAUCAUUGAAUGAAACUAACAGCUGAUGUGAAUUGGUAUUUUGUUUGUGGUUUAUUUGCAGCUGCAGCUUGGUACCCGAUUGGAAGCGGUUAUGGUGUGGGAGUGAACAAUAUCAUACUGUUAGCUGAUUUAAACGAUGCAUCAAAAGGAUAUUUGGUGAAUGAUGCCAUUAUCUUUGAAGCUGAAAUGGUUAAGGUCUCUAUAACCAACAUCGUCUCCGCUUAAAUAUCUGCACUUCUUUGUCUACGAUCAAUCAACCUUAUGAAUAAAAAGAUGUUUAAUUUGAUGAGUUUGUAAUAAGAAAACGUUAAUGUUUGUGAAUUGUGAAGUUAUUAUUUCUGUUCUUCUGAGUUUUUUUAUUUCAAUGAAAAUAAAACUCUUACCGGUUUAAAUUGUUUGAAAUAUGUUGGGGAGUAUGGAGUGUUAGUUAUAUGAAUAAAUUCGACUUAUUUGGAGUCAGAAAGAAACUAAUAAUUUAAUUUACAUAAUUUCAUUUUUGUAACCGAAUUCAAACAGAAGCCAAAAGAAGAUAAGAAUUGAACAAAAAUUUAAAAGAUACUAAAUAUGUGAAAAUCGAAAUCGUAUGAUGCUGACUAGUGAUGAAGAUGGCCAAGAUCGGUCAUGUUGAAUGCGGAAUGGCCAAAAAAACACACAAUUUGCGACUCCCAUAUAAGUUGCAAAACGGUUUAUUUAGGACUACUUGAAGACUACUAAUACAAUGGUUUCAAAAUAGUCGCUAAUGUACGACCAUUUUCUGACCCCUAAUUUUUUUCAUAUAGAAGCGACUAAUUUGGGAUAGAAAAUUGAUGUCGUAUAUUUACAACUGAAAAGCAACGAAGUUUACUUAGUGACAUUUUUAUGACGAUAUUUGCUAAUCCUAAAUUUGAGACGAAUUUGGGACUAAUUCAAGAGUCCGAGUUACGUGACCCGUGAUGUAGCAUUUCUAUCAAUUAAUUAUCGAACCACAAUUUGCAAUUAAUCAACUCACCAAGAAUACACAUAAUUGCUUAAUCUAAGCUAAUAAGGUGACUUUGAGUGUUCCUAAUCUUAGUAACAAUGCAUUAUCAAGCAAAAAAUGCAAAACAAGAUAAAAGAAAGCAAGAAACAAAAGACUAACAAGUUUCGAAAGUAAACAAAGCGGGAAAUUAACAAAUUACUUAGUUAUCACUAAAGACGAAUUCUCGGGUUAAGGUAAUCGAUUAGAAAUGAUAAAUAGAUGGAUUCUAGAGCAACAAACAACUUCUAACAAGCAAUGAUCCUUAGGCCAUAGAACACUAAACAAGACUAAUACAUUUCCAUGAUAUUAAUCCUUUUACUAAUCAAUCAAUCAUCAACAAUUUCCAAAGGCAAUCAAAUGAUCAAUAAGCAUAAAUAACAAGUCUAUCUAGCCACUAAUAACCCUAAUCAACAAUUUCCAAAGGUAAGGUAUGAAAAGCACUUAAAGAUUUUGGUUCGGGAAUUUCAUCGAACACCUUCCGGGCAUGAAAUUCCUAGUGUCUAAAUCAACAUGAUCAAAGUUGAUCUAGCCUUAAAAGCAAUCAAUAAGUAAGAAUCUUAAGUAAUCUAGCCCUAAAAUCCAUAACCCAACAUCUAAACCAUCCUAAUCUACCCUAACCAAAGAACUCUAGGAGACUACUCACUCAUGAUCAUGAUCAUACAAAGGAAUUGGUUUGAUCUUUGUAAAGCCAUAAUCAUUAGAGAAUAGAUGAGAAAUUUAAAAGAAAUACUUGAUAUAGAAACUUAAGAACUCAACAUUCAUACAAAAACCUAAGAUAAAGAACCUUCAAGAGAAGUUUUGAUCCCUAAACAAAAGCUCUUUUUUCUCUAAAACUAGGUUAAGAGUAUUUCUAGUAACAGGAAAUAAACCGGAUCAACCUAGAACAAACCGGGUUUUGACCCGGUUAAGGAAGGCAAUCGACCAAGCAAUAGAUCACUUGGUAGAUUCAAUAUCGUCCACAACAUUAAUCCUUGACCAGUAGACCACGCAAUCGACCACUUUGGUAGAUUCAUAUUCCUCCGUAGCUCUGGUCCGGACCAAUCGACCACCCAAUCGACCAGUUUGGUAGAUUCGUAUUCCUCCGUAGCUCUGGUCCUGACCAAUCGACCACGCAAUCGACCAGUUUGGUAGAUUGUCCUACUAGCUUCUCCUCUUUGGCCACUUUGCAUUCUUGUAGCUCAUUUGUUUGCUCCAUUUGCUCCAUUUUACUUCCAAAACUUUAAACUCCACUCAUGUACCUAAGAAAACCAAAUGCAAAUGCAAAUGCAAUACUAUAUGCCAAAAUAUGAAUGCAAAGCAACAAAAACUAAGAGAAAAAGAGGUUUUAAAACACCCAAAAACACUAGAUAUCAACUCCCCCAAACUUAUUUCUUGCUAGUCCUCAAGCAAGAACUAAGAGAUAGAAAAGAAAGAGGUUUGAAGGUGGGGAUUCAUAGCCACAAAAUAUCAAACGAAGGAUUCAACUCAAAGUCCUUAAAGAUAGUUCAAAUUUGCUUGAAUCAAUCAUCAUACUCUUUCGUACUUCUCCAUACUCUUCUUAGUGCAUAGCUCAAUUUCAAAUCUCCAACUAUUAGCAAAGACUCACAAUCAAGUUGAAACAUCUCUUUAACAUUCAUUUAAGUGUUUGGCGCGGUCUCGCAAAUGGAAGAUAAAUCAUUCUCAAUCGGUCUUGGUGAAGGCUUUUGGAGGUGGUUUCAAAAGAUUUACAUUUUGGUGGGUUUCUCUAAAAAAAAUAGUAAUGCUAGACAAUCAUGAAAUCCAUCUAAGACCAAGAACAAUUUAUGCAUACAAAGUCUAGCUCUUGUUGUUCUACCCGUCUUAGAUGUAAACUCCUAUUUCUACCCUUCUUGCAAACUCUUUUCUUCUUCUUUUCAACCCCAAUCAAUAGACACUUUGGUCUUUUUGAACCACAAUCCUCAAGAUCAAUCCUUUCUUGCUAGUCACCUAGGGAAGACUUCUUCUUUUGACACUUUGUUCUUUUCUAUUUCUUUUCUAAGUUUAUCUUUGUUCCCAAAUACUUAUAGCUUUGCAAGUUUCUUUUCUUUGGGGAACUAGCUUGAUAUUAAACUUUCUCUUUACACUUAGAGAUUUAGAGCUUUCUUAUUUAUAACUUAUUCCCUAGAGACUCCUAUAAAACCAUUGAUCACACAUUUCUUUUCAUUCAUUCUUUUUUCUUUUCUUUUUUCCAAACCCAAUCCCAAGUAUUCAAUCUAACCACUUAAAUCUUUCAUUCCCAACCUAGUAGCUAGUCCAAAGAUGUUCCAAAAGCUAGCUAAAAACAAGAGCUAAAACCUUGUCGUUCUCAAUACUUUGAAGAUUUCAAAAUCUAUAGCAUUUUCAUACAAGAGGCCUCACUCACAAAUAGUACAUAGGCUUGAAAGAAAGGUUUUAAGGUUAAGGGUAGGGAAAACCAUUUUAAAGGUGAGAAUGGCCAUUCGGGUUAACAAAAGAUUGGCUAAACGAAUAAGAUAACCCGAAUGAGUCUGUUAGACUACCAUGAGAAUACAUUUAGGAUCCAUAAGCGAGAAAUCAAUAUCAAAUUAAGUCCAAAUUCAUAGAGAUAUUUCAAAAGUCAUGUAAGCUUCACACAAGUAGAAAUUGCUUUCGAGAAACGCAAAAGUCUAAGCAUGGGUUUUCCAUUUUUUCCAAGAUGAUCAAGCAACGAUUAACUGUGAUCAAGGGCUUUAAGCUCAAUCCUAAGCUUGAAUUUCUACAAGGUAAUUAAAUCAUUAUCCCCUAUGCAAAUGCAAAUGUACACUAGAUGCUACUAGACUCAAUCCUAAAAGAGAAAAUUAAUAUGCAAACCUACAUGAUUUUUUUUGGAUUUUUCAAAAUUUUCAGAUUUUUUUUUUAUUUUUCUCAAAACAUAGUUAUUGACAAUGCAAGACUCAAAGAAAGAAAAUCAAAACAUAACACAACAUUAGAUGGUUAGUCUCUCCCCCAAACUUAUUUCACACCGUCUCGGUGUAAAGAUAAUUCCGGAAAAAAGACUAACGAAAAACAAAGAGAAAAUGAAAGAAAAUAGUAUAUACAAAGGAUAGAUAGGACCAUACCUUGGCCCUAGUUGUGAACCUUAGGGAGUGAAGUGAUAGGAGGAGUUGUGAAACUCCUUGUAGAGCCCUUGAAUGCAAGUGUGAGGACCUCUUUCAUCAAUUCUUCAACACUUUUUGAACCUUUUUCUUUGAACUCCGGUGUGAGAAUCGCUUUAACCGAUGAAAAAGGGUUGGAUCGACCCUUGCACUUGACUCUAUACUCUAAAAUUCCAUCAUUAUACCUCAAAAGUGUUAGAGUCAUAGAAGAGGUAGGAUUUGGUGAAUUGUCAAGGGUGGGAGGGUGGGUUCUUUUCAUCAUCCUCUUGUUCUUCUCAAGAACCAUCUUAGCUUUACCCAACUCCUUCUUUUUAGUACUUUCUUCUUGCGCAUCAAACAAAAAGUGUAGACAUUCACCAUCCAAGAUUUUCUCAUCAACCGUGAAAUCCUCUCUAUUCUUCGCAUUCACAACUUUGAUCUCAAGUUGAUCCUUCAAACUUUUAGGCUCUUUCUUUGUUUUCACUUCUUCAUUAGUGAUUGUUCCACAAAACUUUGUAGAGAAAGGCUUGAUUGGAUAUGAGACAUUACCAUUCACGUGGAGAAGAGUAACUCUCUUGUUUGGGAAGUCGAUGUUGGCUCCCACGGUGUUGAGAAAUGGAGUUCCUAGAAUGAGAGGAACCUUGUGGGUGUCUUUCAUCUCCACUAUCAUGAAAUCCGUUGGGACUAUGCAAUCACCAACUUUGAGUGGAUAGUCUUCAAUCAAACCAAGAGGAGUUGUUGAAGAAGCAUCUCCAAACAUGAUGGAGGAGGUGUGGUGGUUCAUAUCUUUAACCCCUAGACUCUUUACCAUCUCAAGUGACAUCACAUUCACGCUUGCACCCGAAUCACAUAAGGCAUCAUCAAGUUGUAAAUCACCAAGUGAGCAAGGUAUGGUGAAUUUACCCGGAUCUUCAAGCUUGAUAAUAGAUUUUGGUUCCGUUUGUGGUGUGAUUGGUGAAUCAAAGGCUCUCAUGAUCUCUUCCACUUUCUCUCGAUUUUCUAGAAUGGCUUGAAUGAACUUAAAGUGAAGAGGAAUUUGAGACAAGUUUUCCACACAAGGCAAAGGCGCUCCAACUCUACUCAUGUUGGCUUUAAAACUUGAGAAAACUUUCUUUUUAGCUUUGGUAAGAACUCGCCCGGGAAACGGAAGUAGAGGCUCAUAAGGAAGAGGCUCAACUCUUGAUGCCUCUUUCUUUUCAACACUCUUGGUUAUCAUAUCAUUCCCAUUCGUACUCUUCUUGGCCUUCUCAUCACUAGCAACCAUUAAGUUCUCAACAUUAGAACCAUAUAGAAGUUUAGAGAUCUCUUCUAUUGCCUUUUCAUUCUCAUCAAUUCUACCAUCCUCUCUUGAUUGUGUAUAGCUCAUAUUUUCAACCAUAUCAAAAUCGUUUAUGAAGAUAGCAUUGCAAAACUCCUUAUGAUUAGUUUCAGAUUUACCCUUUAAAGUUCCCAUUGGAUGCUUGGAAGUGGAUGAGGAUGGGCUAUAAACAUGGACAUUCAAACGCUCUAUUUUGGCAUUGAGCUCACCAUAAAUGUCAUCAACCUUGGUGUGCAUUCCUUUCAUUUGUGUGGCAAGAUCGAUUGCUCCUCUUCCUUGCCCUUCUAGAAUUUGUCUAAGAAGAGCGUUUGUAUCCGCUUGAGGUGGAGGAUUCGAUGAACUCCCUUGGUGUUGAUUGUGGUGGUAGGCUUGAGGUUUUGGUUGGAAGUUCCUUUGGGGUUGAGGUUGAUAGUUGGGUUGUUGUGUGAAACCGGGAGGCUUUAAGGGUGGGUAGCUUUGAUCUUGUGGGUUCUCCACAUUAUUGCUCCUAUAUGAAAGGUUGGGAUGAUUCCUAUAGUUGAGGUUGAAUUUGUUGUAGCCUUGUCCAAUAGCAUAGUUGACCUCCUCUUGUCGCUCUACACAACCUUCCAUGUGUUCUUGAUACCCUUGGUAGACAUCACUCUCGGAUACAAAAUGGAUCGGUUUUUGAUUAGCAAGAAUCAUCUUAUCUAUCUUUUCAUUCAAAGCUUUGAUCUCUUUGCGGUGUAGAUUACUCAUCUCAUUACUUUCUCUUGGAGUGCGGUCAUAAUCUUCACCAUAAUUACCAUCACUUUGAGCUAGAUUCUCUACCAAAGACAAACCAUCAUCAAUAUCUUGGCCCAAGAAGUUUGCAUUGCUUGCCGUGUCCAACAACAUGCGAAAUUUAGGGAGAACUCCUCUAUACAAGGUACUUAGUAUAGACUCUUUAGAGAAACCAUGAUGAGGACAUUGCAUUUUGUAUCCUUUGAACCUUUCCCAAGCUUCACAAAAACUUUUAUUACUCCUUUGAGUGAAGCUAGAUAUCUCAUUUCUCAACCUUGCCGUUCUUGUUGUGGAGAAAAACUUUAAGAGGAAUGCUCUUUUGCAUUGGUCCAAGAGGUGAUGGAGCCUUGAGGUAGAUUCUUCUCCCAAAUACGAGCUCGGUCUCCAAGAGAAAAUGGGAAGAGUCUAAGUUUGAAUGCAUCUUCCGAGAUCCCAUUGAUUUUCACCGUGCUACACAACAUAUCAAAUUGGUCUAGAUGAUCCAAAGGGUCCUCCAUUGAUAAACAAUGAAACUUAGAGCUUUGAACCAUGUUGAUGAGGCUUGAUUUAAUCUCAAAGUUGUUGUUCUCAACCGGAGGAGCUUGAAUACCGUUUCUAUUUCCGCGGAUGUUUGGCUCAUCAAAGGCUCCAAUUGGUUGAUGAGCUCUUGGUUGAUGUUGUGGCAUAUGACCACCCCCAUUAGCUUGGCCAUUUCCAUUAUGGCCCCCAACUUCGGGUUCAUUCAUGACGCCUAACCGAGCAAGGUGUUCAAGUCGUUCUCUUUUUCUUCUUGCUCUAGCGUUUUCUCUUUCAAACCGGCGAAUGUCGUUAAUCUCUUCUACUAAGUUUGCUCGGCCGUAACUUCGUAGGUUCAUACACCUUUAAGACAAGAGCAAAGAUCAAGUAUAAAGGAUUAGUAACUAAAGUAAAAGGCUUAGUCUCAAGCAAAUAUGAAAUCCUAAUGGCUAAUAACUAUUGCAAACCGGCAACGGCGCCAAAUUGAUGUAGCAUUUCUAUCAAUUAAUUAUCGAACCACAAUUUGCAAUUAAUCAACUCACCAAGAAUACACACAAUUGCUUAAUCUAAGCUAAUAAGGUGACUUUGAGUGUUCCUAAUCUUAGUAACAAUGCAUUAUCAAGCAAACAAUGCAAAACAAGAUAAAAGAAAGCAAGAAACAAAAGACUAACAAGUUUCGAAAGUAAACAAAGCGGGAAAUUAACAAAUUACUUAGUGAUAACUAAAGACGAAUUCUCAGGUUAAGGUAAUCGAUUAGAAAUGAUAAAGAGAUGGAUUAUGGAGCAACAAACAACUUCUAACAAGCAAUGAUCCUUAGGCCAUGGAACACUAAACAAGACUAAUACAUUUCCAUGAUAUUAAUCCUUUUACUAAUCAAUCAAUCAUCAACAAUUUCCAAAGGCAAUCAAAUGAUCAAUAAGCAUAAAUAACAAGUCUAUCUAGCCACUAAUCACCCUAAUCAACAAUUUCCAAAGGUAAAGUAUGAAAAGCACUUAAAGAUUUUGGUUCGGGAAUUUCAUCGAACAUCUUCCGGGCAUCAAAUCAACAUGAUCAAGGUUGAUCUAGCCUUAAAAGCAACCAAUAAGUAAGAAUCUUAAGUAAUCUAGCCCUAAAAUCCAUAACCCAACAUCUAAACCAUCCUAAUCUACCCUAACCAAAGAACUCUAGGAGACUACUCACUCAUGAUCAUGAUCAUACAAAGGAAUUGGUUUGAUCUUUGUAAAGCCAUAAUCAUUAGAGAAUAGAUGAGAAAUUUAAAAGAAAUACUUGAUAUAGAAACUUAAGAACUCAACAUUCAUACAAAAACCUAAGAUAAAGAACCUUCAAGAGAAGUUUUGAUCCCUAAACAAAAGCUCUUUUUCUCUAAAACUAGGUUAAGAGUAUUUCUAGUAAUGAGAAAAUAAACCGGAUCAACCCGGAACAAACCGGGUUUUGACCCUGUUAAGGAAGGCAAUCGACCAAGCAAUAGAUCACUUGGUAGAUUCAAUAUCGUCCGCAACAUUAAUCCUUGACCAGUAGACCACGCAAUCGACCACUUUGGUAGAUUCAUAUUCUUCCGUAGCUCUGGUCCGGACCAAUCGACCACCCAAUCGACCAGUUUGGUAGAUUCGUAUUCCUCCGUAGCUCUGCUCCUGACCAAUCGACCAGUUUGGUAGAUUGUCCUACUAGCUUCUCCUCUUUGGCCACUUUGCAUUCUUGUAGCUCAUUUGUUUGCUCCAUUUGCUCCAUUUUACUUCCAAAACUUUAAACUCCACUCAUGUACCUAAGAAAACCAAAUGCAAAUGCAAUACUAUAUGCCAAAAUAUGAAUGCAAAGCAACAAAAACUAAGAGAAAAAGAGGUUUUAAAACACCCAAAAACACUAGAUAUCAACCCGUUACAGACUAGGAUGAUAGUGGAAAAAGUGUUUUGUGUGUUGAAAAAAUAAUAUUGGUCCCCAUAUAGUCGUACAUAAUGUUUUUUUUUAGUGGGAGUAGUCUCUUCAAUUGAGUUUUAGAGUUCUAAAUUGGUUUGAUGAUUUGAUUAUUAUUAAAAAUUAACUAUUUUUAGGAAUUCACGAACUGAAUUGAGCAAUAUAUUUUUAGCCAAUGAAAUUUAAUAUUAGAACACAUAUUGUUAGUUUAACAAAUUUGUUUGAUAAUGCGAAUUUGACUAAUAUUACAAAUGAAAGUUUAGUAAUUAAGUAGUCAAUUUUAAUGACUAAUUUCUUGAAAGAGGAGUAAUCUAAUAUUGUGUUCAUGUUCGAAAGCGGUGUUUGGUUGUUGAAUUUUUUAUUUCAUAGUUUCGUUAAUCAUCAAUCUUUGAAUUAUUUUGUGGUUUAAUGUGUUUUAUCAUAUAAUUUUAAUCGUUUAGUUUCUUUCAUAAUUUUAAUUUUAAGCAUAAAAACUAACAAACAUUUAAUUUGUCCGUUUAGGUAAAAACGACUCUCGCAAAUCUUUAGAAUAUCAUUGAUUUAUGUGAUCUACUCUGUAUGUACUAUUUUACAGUUAAGUCUAUAAGAUAAUAAUUACUCGAGCAAUCAACCGGAAUUAGGUCGCAUCAAAUGUAACAACACCAGAUACUACCUAAGACGUUUUGCUUAACAUUUAAAUCACAUUUUGAAUAUUACGCUGCUCACGUCUAAUCUGAUAGUUGACACAUUCCAAGUCAAAUAAAAGUUAUAAUAAUGAAUGUGCAUAAAUAUUCAUAAUUUUUCCACCGUGAAUCCACUUUCAGUAUUAUAUAGUAGUAACUAAACUCGUUUAAUAGAUAACUCGUGUCUCUAUUAAACAGGUCUUUCUAUUAUUCAUUUUUUUUUUUCUUAAUCACAUUUUCAAUCGAUUAGCUUUUUACUAAAAGUAGUUUUUAACAAUGUGCCAAAAGACGCUGUCGUACCCUAAAAUAAAAUUGAAUGAAAAUAAGAAAGAAGCUGAAACAGAUUAACUGUUAUCAACCAAUUAAUCUGUCACUCACUUUAGAAUUUCUUUAUUGUUUCUUAUUCAGUUUUUAACAUUGUCUCUAAAUUAAGGAAUUUUAAUUGUUUGUUUUUUUCAAAAAACAAAAUUAAAAAAAAUUGAAAUGUUAAAAAGAAAAAAAUAUCUCAAGAAAAACUUUUGAAUACUUUUGUAAUAGUUUUUUCUUAAGAUAAAAAAGAUAUAUAUUUCUCUAGGUCCCAGAGGGCAGAGGAACUCAAAACGAAUCUUGGUAUAUAUUUUUUUUUGUCGUACGAAUCUUGGUAUAUUUAUUGUAUGAAAUCAUUUUUUUUAAUAUUUUCUUGGUUAAAUAUUGAAACUCAUUUCUUGUUUCUCCUGGAAAAUUCCGUUGAUAGGACUGACAAGAGUCCUGAGAGAAGAGCGACCAUCGAGUAAGAUAGUGACAAUAACCAGCUUCUCCUUGAUUAAGGGCAAAUAUGUAAAGGGUAUAGAGAUCAACACAACACAGAGAAUUGCUUAUAAGUAUAUUCUUAUUGAUAACAAACUGUUUACAAAUGUUAUGUCGGAGAUUACUUGAUCUAUUCUACCCAAGAGAUCAAAACCGAGUAAGAAUAUCUAAGCCUAAUUCUCUUAUCUGUUUCUUAUCACUGUCACGUGAAGACUAAGAGAAUUACACACUCACCUUCAAGCUUUUGCAAUGCUCUGAAGAUUUCAAUCGUAUCGAAAUAUUCUAGAGUGCACGAAGCGCCUCACACUAAACCCUAGAGUACUUAUACUUACUCUCCAUAAUCUUAAACCUACGAUCUCCGAAAAUCUCGUUUUAAGGAAUCUUUUUUGUUUUCUUCAAGCUUAUUCCUUCCUAAAUCUUCGAGAUGAUAUCUUCCAUAUCUUCUUGAUAUUUCUUGUCUUUGACACCACGCCAAGUCAGCUUCCAUCUUUGGCUCUCCACAUCAUUCGCCUUAGCUUACCACGUUUGCUCUCGCAUCCAUGUCCGCAAAUCAAGCGUCUGAUGAAACUCGAUGCAGCUUCCUGAAAUUUAUCAAUGCUCUGAUCGCCAUCAGCUGAUUGAUUGACUCUGCAUCUUCAAUAUGAACCCUAUGAAUCCUCUGCUUUUGACGCUGCUGGUUACAAAUGGUAAAGAUCUUACACUCUUACACUUUUUUCAAAAACUUUUUCAUAAUUUUUGAGUUUAUUUUAAUUGGAAACAAAAAUUAGGAUAUUUAUGCUAUUUGUGAAUGGUAAUCAAAACGACCGAAUCUUUUCCAAGAGGUUGGGAAGUCAAUGUUGAUCUCAAACUCAUUUAUAACCCGAACCAGUCUAUUUAUAUAAAUGUAUUGGCUAAUGUAUUCACUUGAAAAAUACUUCGUUUCUCCACCUUGGAAGAUAAGUUUUGAUACUCUGACGAAUUUCUCGUUGGAGACCGAUACUGGUUGGCACUUCCUCAUCAAAUUAUAUCAAAACCUGUUGCUCAAAAUGUUUCCUAAAGGAGGAAAACAUAUUUCUGUUAAUAACAGUUUUUAGUUAAUCUAUAAUCAGGAGAUUAGGAUUUAACCCGAAAGGGUAUCAAGGAGGAAGACCACGUGCACUUUCAAUCUUUCUUUAUGUUCAAGCCUUCAAGGCUAUAAGGCAAACACAGUUGUUACAAACACUUGGGAGUGGUUAAUUUGCGUUUAAAGAAACAACGAAGCUCCAACCAAAUACUAUAUAGUAAAAAAACCAAGGAACAAUAUAAAGUAAAAUGUUAAUCUCCAAGAGACAAAAUAACUAGUUUGGUUUGUUCCUUUUUUUUAGGCGAAGCUUGGUGUGCGAUUGGAAACGGUACUGGUAUGGAUAGGGAACACUAUCAUAUUGUUAGAAGAUUUAAAAAAUUCAUCAAAAGGAUAUUUGGUGAAUGAUGCCAUUAUCUUUGAAGCUGAACUUGUUAAGGUCUUUGUGACCAACAUUGUUUCUGCUUAGAGAUCUCUAAUUCUUUGUCAGCAAUCAAACAACCUUAUGAAUAAAGUUUGUAAUAAGAAGAAGUUGAUAAAGUUUGUGUUGUAAUCUAUAUUUUGUUGGUUUUGUUUUCUGUUUAUUAUAGAUUACAUAGAUUAUGCUUUAACUAGUUUAACUGUUUAUGCUUUAAGGGCCCAAAAUCUAUUAGUUUCUCUUCAUCUAGGGUGAACAUCUUAGGAAAAAGUGUUGAACUGUGGUAGUAACAUCCUGAGCGUCUUUUGGACCAAGUCUAUUUAACCGAUUUAAAACUAGAAACACAGCUGACAAAAAUAAAAAGUAAAUUUAAGUAGAUUUUGACUUAAAAUUUGUCAUUUAAUGGACACUAAAAAAAACAAAAAUCAUAUAUGUGAAAGUUGACCAACUCUCUUCAUAUGGGUGACACAUCAUCACACAAGAAAAUGACAUGUGUCUUUUAACAUUGAUUAAAUUAAAAAUCAGUAAAAUUAAUUGAGAGAAAAUCAAAGUCUCAUAUUGUGUUAAAUCCUCCAUUAAUUUAUUUCUUAAAUGAUUUUUUUCAAAAUAAAAAAUAAAAUUAUAAAAUUAUUUAUUUAAAUAUAUCAAUUACUACUUUUAUUUUACUUUUAUUAUUUUCUAUUUUGUAAAAAUUUAAUGGUCAAUGGUCAUCACUCUAUAAUGACUAAAUAUUUAUUUGUGUUAUUUUACCUUGAUUUUUUAUUAUUAUUACAUUCUCGUUCAUAUCUUAUCAUAUGAAAUUUUGUCUUUUCAUUUUUGUAUCUUUAGGUAAGUUCGUAACAUUGACAUUCAACAUUUUCAAGUAAUAGACUUUUGAGACGUUAGACAUACUACGAAAUUAAAAACAAAUCAAUUUGUCUUAUAUGGCUAUAUGCAAUAGCAUAAAAUCUAAAAAGUGUUACUAAAAUAACUCUUUAAUUUUUGCUUCCUUUUUUUUUUCAUACGAAAACUCUUGAAAUCAAAAUAUCUUAUAUUCUUGUUGUAUGUUCAUGAUAAUGAACAAAUUUUAUAAUCUUGGAUAUAAAAAUAAUCAGAUUAUACAUGAAAAUAUAUAGAAAUUGAUAUUUAGAGUCAAAAAUGAAUCUAAAAUGUAAGUACAUAAGAUGAGUCUAAUUUUACUAAGUAUAAAAUAACAAACAAAAAAUAAACAUAAAUUAGCGACAAACAUAAUUAACAUAUUUUUAUCUAAACAAUUUUCAAAACAAACCCACGCGUACCGUGAGAAUUCAUCUAGUAUAUAGAUAAAAUUAUAUAGACCAAUCUACUCAAUUGAUACUAUCAAAAUCUCACAAAUAUAUUACUUGAAUAUAUAUUUUUAAUUUUUAUUAAAUUUCAAAUAAUAGACAAAAAAAAACUCAAAGCCAAUCACAUAUAGACACAUGUGAAAGUUAUCUCUCUAAAAAAUUCUUAAAAAUUCAAAACCAAAACCAACUAUCAUCUCUCCCAAUUAUCAUCUUUUUAAUAUAUCAAAAAUAUCUUUGAAAACUUUCCUUUACCCAUGUUUUAAACCUUUCUCAUCUAUAUAUAUACAUUUUUACAAAUAAAUCCUCAAGUUGAAACUUAUUUACAAGAAAUACCAUUUGGCAUUAAUUAUUAUUAAUAAAUUAAUAUUCCUAACUACUAGCAUUUUCUUAUCUGAUAUAUAUCUCCAUCAAUUCUUAAUACGUCAAAAAAAAUCUUAGGACACUAUUAAUAUUAUACUUUAUUAAAAGAUAAAUAAUGUAGUUAUUUAAAGUUUAUUAAAAAAAAUUAGAAUAUUUCACAGAAAAAACGUUAUAGUAUAUUUAUAAUAUGUAAAUCUAUAAAAAUUAAAUAACCAUUGAAAGAAAACUUUUAAAUUAAUUUAAAUUAUAAAUCUUUUAAUAAAAGUAUUAUUAAAACAAAAAUUAAAAAUAAUAUUUAAUUUUAUGAAAUGGGAUUAGAUGGUAGGACGGAUUUAGAAUAUCAUAAUAUAUGAACUUUAUAACAAUUAAAUAACCAUUUGAAAGAAAACUUUUAAAUUGUGUUGAAUUAUAUAUCUUUUAAAUUAAAAUAUUAUUUAAACAAAAAUAACAAAAAUAAUGUUUAAUUUCACUAAACGGAGUUAGAUGAUAUAAGGGGUUUGGGUCGAUAGUAUUAUGAGAUGGUAUACCACAAGUGAAAUACAUUAGAUAUGUUUAAUUUCACUAAACAGGAUUAGAUGGUAGGACAGAUUUGGAUCAAUAGUAAUACGAGACGGUAUACGACGGAUGAAAUCCUAGAUAUAUCAUUAAAAAUAAAAUUAUAUUAUCUAAAUACUAAAACAAACAAACAAUAUUAACAAAACAAAUAUAAUUAGAACUUAAAUAUUUAGUUAUAAUUUAGAUUUUAACUUAUUGUUCCUAUAUUUUUAAACAGUAAAAAUUAAACAUAGUAAUUAUACACUAAAAAAUAUAUAGAUAUAAGAGUUGUACGUUUAGAAAAUACAAAACAUUAAAUCAUAUUUAUUUUUAAUCUACAAAACAAAUUAAUUUUUAUUUUUAAAAAAUAUAAUUAUGCGGUACACCGCGGGUUAAAAUCUAGUAUAUAUUCAAAAGCCUUCAAAUUGAACACGAGCUUUGUUCUUGUAUCUAGGGCUGGAAAAAUAGUCUGACUCGAAGAUCCAAACUAAACCCGGCUCAAAAUAUUCGAUAUUAAUUCGAUUUCGUAUAUUAAAACUAUCUGAAUGGGAUCUAGAAACUUGAAAUUCUGAGUGUCCAAUAUAAUUCUGAUUCGAAUUUACCCAAAAAAAUCCUAACAUGUUCAAUCUUUAGUAUUUUAAAUUGUUUUGAUAGUUUUAUUACCGAUAUUUUUGGUUAAUUAUGAUACUUUUAAACAAAUUUUAAAUAUUUUUACCGGAUUUUUCGAGUAAUCGGAUAAAUAGUUUCAAUUAUUUAGGUAGUUUUAACCAAACUCAAAACAUGAUUAUAAAUCUAAAAUAUUAAAAUCUUUAAAAUAUCUAAAAUAACUAAAAUAUCUGAACUAUUUAGUUAUAUUUUAUCAAUCCACUACUGCGAUAAUAUCUCGUGUACUUCGAGAACUCUCACUAAUCCACAGAAAUAUUGUUUUAUAUAACAGUAGUCAUUAGUCAAUAGCUAGACAUGCAUGGUUUGGUACACGUACUUGGAAAAAGCAUAAAAUAAACAAUUAUAACCAAAUCGAAAUCUGAUAUACAUUCAAUUUUAAACAAAAAAAAAAAUGGAAAUCUGAUACUGUAAAAUUGAAUAUGUGUGUAUUAUUAUUGGUUCCACGACGAGUCUACUUUCAGUAUUUUAUUACCAAAGCAAACCAAAACGGAUCUCAAAAAAUGGAUACUGAAAAAUGGAGUCAAGGUAUUAAGUGAUCCUUUGUCCAAAAAAAAAAAAAAAAAAAAGGUAUUAAGUGAUCCACUUUUGUUCUUAGUGGUUCUGUCCCUGCCUUUUGCUCUUGUAUCUAGAGCUGAAAUAAAAUUCGGACCUGAACAUCCUAACCGAAUUCAGAUUAAUUUUUUUGAUUAGAAUUCUAAUCCGAAUUUUAAAAGUAUUCGAACGGAUUUUAGAACCGGAACUUCGAAUAUCCAAAAAGCCCGGAUUUAAAACAGAUUCCGAAUAUAUACUCGAAAAAAUCUGAAUAUUCCUAAGAUAUUAACUCUUUUUACCUGGUUUUAUGGAUACUAUUGAUUAAUUAAAAUACUUUUAAUAGUAUAACUUUUAACCGGGAUUUUCGAGUAAUUCGAAUUAUUUUACAUAGUUUAAAUAAUUAUACGUAGUUUUAACCGAAUCUUAACUAUAAUUAUAAAUCUAUAUCAAUUAUUUUUUAAUCAAAAUAAUUAAAAUACCAAUCAAUAUAACUAAAACACUUAAAAUAAACAAUUUUAAAAAACAAUUUUUAUUAUAUCUAUCAAAUUAUAUUAAAAAAUUCAAGCAAAUAAUUUUUUUAGAUUAUCCAAACUUCGAAUACAAAAAUCUGAAUAGAACCAGAAUUUGAUCUGAUAUAUUUUGAGUUAUGGUAGAAAUCUUAAUCAGAAAACUAAAAAAUCCUUACAAUACCUAAACGCUCAGACCUAUAAAUUUUGAUUUAUCUACAUUUCGGUGUUGGUGAUAUACUGACACCGAGUCGUUAACAGCAAUAAUAUUUUGUGUACUUUGAGAUCGCUCACAAAUCCACAGAAAUAUUGUUUUAUAAUAGACGUACUUGGAAGAUGCAUAAAAUAGACAAUACAACCAAAUCAAAUUUGAUACUUUACACAUUCAAAGUCAAACAAAAACAGUGAAAUUGAAUGUGUACAUGUAUUAUUAUUGCUUCCACGAGGAGUCCACGUUCGGUAUUUUAUAUUUGUUACUAAACUCGAUCAAUAAGUAAUCAAAAGUGUCUCUGUUUAUAUAAAUGGAAAGCGUUACCAAAACAAAACAAAACCAGAUCUCAAAAAAUGGACACUCAAAAAUGGAGUAUAGGUUUCAUAUCUCUCGCUUUUCUCUUCAUCACUUCCUCUUCCGCUGAGCUCCUCAUUAAACAGGUUUCUUUUUAAGCACUUUUUCUAUCGAUAUGUUUUUAUUUUUACUACAAAACUAGUUUGUAAAAAUGAAUAAAACUAAUAGUUUUGCUAAUAUUAGGCCACAGAAGGCAGAGGAAUAGAAUACAACAGUUCUCACAGUUCACGAAUGGUACGUACACUUAUUUUCUUUCUUUAGAUUUUAUUGGUUAAAACUUAAAACUGUGAUAACCAUUUUCUUGAACUCUUUUUAUUGAUAGGAGUGACAAGAGUGUGGAGGGAUGACCGACCAUCGGAUAAGAUUCUUUCGAUAACCAGCUUCUCAAUAAUUAGGACGAGACCUGAACCCUAUGAAUCCUCUGUUUUUGAGGCUGUUGGUUACAAAUGGUAAAGAUCUUAGUAUAUCUUACACUCUAUCCCAUUUUUUUUUUGUUAAUUAUAUCUUUUGAGCUAAUUAUGAUGCAAAUAAAUAAAUCAGGAGAUUGGUUUUGUACGUGAAUGGUAAUGAAAAGGACGGUGGAAAAGAUCAUGUUUCACUUUACGCGAAGAUCGUAGAGACAGAAUCUCUUCCAGUAGGAUGGGAAGUGAAUGUUGAUCUCAAACUCUUUGUCUACAAUGGAAAGCUAAACAAAUAUUUGAUUGUUACAGGUACUUUAAACUGUGAAUGGAUUUUUAUUAGAUCCAUAUAUAUAUUCUAGCGGAAAACGGUCUAUUUCUCCACGAUAAGUAUGACAUCAUAACAGAUAGAGCCCAGGCUUUAACCUCGUGCUAGAUAUGAUGUCAUAUUCUAGCUCUAUAUGUUAUGAUGUCAUAUUCUAGCCAUUGCUAUUUUAAGAAAGUAGACUUCAAAUACUAGUCUCAUUAGUAAAUGAACCGAUAGUUGAUUGUGAUUUGCCUUUUUUUUUUUUGCAUAAUUGUGGAUUGUAGAUGGUACAGUGAAACGAUACAACAAUGCGACAAAAGAGUUGGGUUACGGACAACUUAUUCCUCAAUCAACAUUCUACGACGGGAACGAUGGGUACCGUGAGCAGGACACUGGUACAUUUGGUGCUGAGAUCUACAUCGUUAAACCAGCCCAACAAAAAGAGAAAGUCACAUUCAUAUCAAACCCUCCAGACAAUGUUUUCACUUGGAAGAUACUUCAUUUCUCUACCUUGGAAGAUAAAGUCUAU